rnacentral:rRNA from 1 species
UACGGAGGGUGCGAGCGUUGUCCGGAAUCACUGGGCGUAAAGGGCGCGUAGGCGGCACUGUUAGUCAGGCGUGAAAGUCCUGGGCUCAACCUGGGAACUGCGCUUGAUACGGCAGAGCUAGAGUGUGGCAGAGGGGGGUGGAAUUCCGCGUGUAGCAGUGAAAUGCGUAGAGAUGCGGAGGAACACCGAUGGCGAAGGCAGCCCCCUGGGCUGACACUGACGCUCAGGCACGAAAGCGUGGGGAGCAAACAGG